AUUUAAGAAGAGGAAAAAGGAAGUGUCUCUCUUUUUUCCCCUCGGCUCAUGCUCCAGUGGCGCGAUGUGAUUCACCAGCAAGGAGGGACGCCAAUAAGGCGUCCGAUAAGAUAAGUCCCAUAAAAUAUAUAGAUCUAUGGUAAUUGAGACUGAGCUAACAAAUGAGAAUCCUAGUCAUUGGCCAAGCAGCUUUGUAACUAAUACAAGUCUCUCUGUGUAUUCAUUUGGGCCUAACUCGGGCGGGCGGCUGGCGUAAAGCUCGCACGUGGCGGUGGGGCUCAGGCGGCUUUUGGCAAAAAGAUUUAUCGUAACAUGGCAUGUGAGUUGUUAUAAGGCCUGCAUUUCAUGGAGUGGAGGAAACACAAGCUUUCAUACCCACAUGCCAGGAGUAGGGCAAAGAAGAGGAAGCCUGUGACUUACAAAUUAUAAGAAGUCAUAGAGCUAAUGUUGGCAGACUCGUUACUGCAUAGGACAUCAGUGGACAGGAGAAAAUGAUGAGUGUGCUGGAGAGCAAGAACUUUCACUAACUAUAACACCAUUGUUUUGCCUUUAAACUUCCAGGCAACAAAUGCUACAUUGACAUCAAAUAGUUCUCAGUGCCAUACAAUAAAUAGUCAUGUAUAACCAAGCUCACCUUGAUGGCUAUUACUUAUUAAUAACAAAACCAUGGCUAUAGUUCCUCUAGCAUAGUUUUAUCUCUUUCAAUAGGAGUCUCUAUGACAUGCUACUAUCCUAUUAUAGACUUUGACCAUAAGCAUGAGUGUGUUGUACCCAGGAAAACUGUUGACAGAGAGAAACUCUGGUGACAUCUCUUUCCAACACUAAAUAACAGCAACCAAAUUCUAAUAGUUCAUGUUUUUCUGGUAUGUAAACCAAUUUGACAGAACUGAAUCUACUUGUACAUUCCUGUCAUAAUCAGUUUAAUAAAAUGAAGAAAAUUAGGGGAAAUGCUCAGAAAGAAGACAAUGUCUAAAAGCUCAGAGAAAGAUUUAAAAAUAUAUAUAUUUAGAAAGUGAACACAUGUUCAGUAGCAGACCAAAAAAAAAAAUGGAAUAAAGUAAUUGAACCAAACAGUUUCUUUAGCACAUUUGGCCCUUUUCAGUUCAUGGAUACUCUGUAGCCCUACCCCACUGCUUUCAUAAAUAAGAAAAAAAAAAAACAGAGUAAGAAUCAAUGAGUUCUUUAUCUCCUAGGUGUGCUUGUAUCUCUCUGGUAAAUUGAUUUCACUUUCCUAUGUGACUGUCUCUCAGUUACUAUGGAUGAUUGAUAGCUAACUCUGUGAAUGAAGGACUUUUUUGUCUCUGUGUUGUGGUGGCAUCCAAGACAGGAAUACAAAGUUAAUUUUACAUAAGUUUCAACAUAUAGAAUCUAUAACAAUGUAAGCUGUCUAUAGAUAAUAGUUGCUAAAAUAGUUCACAGGAAGAUAUGGUGAUCUACAUAUAUGCUAUCCCAGCAGUCUGGCUUCAGAGCACCAGGACUGAACUCCUUUUGGUUCUCCUAUCCUGCAACAUCAAGUGAUUUCUUACAUGCCUAAUGCACCCUUUGGGGUUUCCCUGAAUAAGCUUUCUUUAUAGAGAACACUCGGCAGAAAUCAUAAGAUGCCAAGAACAGAUCCCUAUGAUAAACUACCAAGCUUCACUCAAAAUAAACUUCUUCCAGGUCUUUCUUAUCUCUCUCUCCAAUGCAUCUUCUGGAGAUUUUACCAACACAUUUGUGUUCCUGCAUAUGCUCCCUUAUCCUUAGUGACUGCUGAAAGAGAGGGGUGUGUUGCUCAAAAUAUUUCCCCCAUUUGACUCUUAAAUUGCAGGUAACCUUGAUGAAUUCCUAAUUUUAUCCUGCCUGUGUAAGAUCCACCUUCAUGAAAACCUCUGGACUAAAUGUUGCCUCAAAUAUAUAAUCUGUAAGCAAUCAUGCCAAACACGUAGUGAAUAAUGUAGCCAUAAUCUAGAGAGUAUGAAAUGCUCUUUUUCCCCAGCCUGUUUAUGUCCUAGCAACUGGAAAACACAAAAGCAGAGGUUCUCGGGGCAUGUUGGAACAGAAACAAAUGUAGUCAUCAAGAAUAGAGAAAAACAGAACAAGUGUUAUAAUUUCUCCGUGGACUGACUUGCUAUGCUGGGUUGGCACCGAGGGCCUGAUAUAUACUGAGCCUUCCACACAGUCCCACAACCAGCAAUCUUGCCAUUUCAUCUUCUUCCCUGCUCAACAUCUUCCCAAAAGUCUUUUUCAAUGUCAGCAAAAGCUCCUCAUACUCAAUAGGGUCAGUGUGUGUGUGUGUGUGUGUGUGUGUGUGUGUGUGUGUGUGUGUGUGUGUGUAGUUUGAGUUCAGAUCUUUGCUCUUCAGGCACAAAGAACUGGUGAGCAUUAGCGAAGGUUCCUCGCAGCAGUUGGCAUCAUGUUUCCACCUGAUCACACAGAGAAUUUCAGAACCCAGAUGCAUAGUCUUCAUCAGGAGCAAGAAGAGUCAGCAGCAUGCUGAGGGCACCAUGGCCCCAUGCUCACAUUCCUUUAUUCCAGUGACUUUUAUUGAUUUCUGCCUCUGAAAUGUUCCUCGUCUCCUGCCUGGUAUUCAGAGUCCUCUAAGGCUCACCAGAGAGUUGCAUUUUAAAACUGACGGGUCACAAACUUCUGACCUUUCCUGCUUCUCUCUCUUAUCUCUCUCUCAAAAAAAUGAAGUUUGAAAUUCGUCAUCCUAUGAAGUAUUCAACAUUAUCACUGUCAAAAUAAAUUUAUGUAUGUAAUUCAUUUUCUGGAUUUAGCAAAUAUUUCAACUCUUCCUUUUUUUUUUUUUCAGAAACUGAUCAGGGAGUUAUGGCAUGGAGACUCAGAAUACGUGGAGAAGUAGACUUCUCUGGAUCUAUGCUCCUAACUGCUGAGAGAAUAUAAAAAUAGACAAUGGCCAGUCUAUGUGACAGCAGGAGUCGACCACAGAAACUCAGCAGCAGGCCCAAGAGACAGGGUUUCUCUGUGUAGCUUUGGAGCCUAUCCUGGCAAUUGCUCUGUAGACCAGGCUGGCCUCGAACUCACUGAGAUCUGCCUGCCUCUGCCUCCUGAGUGCUGGGAUUAAAGGCAUUCACCACCAACGCCUGGCAACUUCAUUAAGUUUUAACCAUUUGGAAAAACUGGAUAAUAGCAGAAACUAUGGUUCCUGGCAUGUGUUCCUCAAUAUUACAUUCUCAACUGGUCCCACAACAGUUGGAUCAAUUGCUCAAGGACAUCAAUGAAAUCAUGAUCUCCUGGUGAAGCUGGAGUAAUUAGUUUUCUUGGCUCUUUCCCUUUGUGGGGCCAUUGGCAGGUACUAUAACUUUUAUUUUGAUUGUACCCUGCAGUUUUUAAUACUUCAUGAACUCCAUGCAGCAUAUGACCUUCAUGUAAGAGUUUACGGAGAAUGGGGGAACACGUGCAUGUAAGACGACUUUACUAUGUUAUAGAGCUGUGUGAACCUGUUCCCAUAGAAUUUGUUUACUUCUCUGGGAGGAAUGCCUUCACCUGCUGAAGGAAUACAAAAGGAAAGAUACUUCCCUGCUCCUCAGCAAUGUGGCUUAGACACUCAAGGACAUUGUGCAACCAGCCUCCCUUUGGCCACAAGACCUUGUGUAUUCUGGGCAUAUCUGCUGAUAGUGCUAAGAAAUGCUCUGUGUGUUUAUCAUUGCGUCUCUGCCCAUGCUUUGAACCUUGAACUAUCUUGGAAUGAUGCUUCAGAGAUGCCCAGUAAAGGGCUCUUGAGUAGCAUCAACUGUAGUCCACUGAUUUUGUUGAAUCUUGAAUAGUAUUUCAAUUCCUUAGCAACAGUCACUGGCAGGUCACUAUAGUUAUGCUGGUCAGAUGAAAUAGAUUUUUAUAAGAAACCCAUCAAAACACACACACACACACACACACACACACACACACACACACACACAAAUCCUUUAGUUGUAAAGUGAUCAAUAUAGCAAGAGGAUCAAACAAUUAUGUUAAUAUGUGCAUAUGAAUGAAACAAUAGAGCCCCAAUACAUAUAAAACAAAUAUCAUUCUUGGGAUGCAAUGAUGGAAAAACAAACUGCAAUUGAAUAAGAGGAGAACAUUAACUCUACAUUCCAAACUGGGCAAAAAUUCAGCAACGGAGCAUUGGACUUCUAUCAUCCCACUACUUGGGUGUACCUUUUAAUAUAUCCAUCCUCCACCUACUGUAUGCACAGAUGAAGACUUUGUUCACCACAGAUCACUCCCCACUUAACUGAGCAAUGUCAGAAGUGUCCUCUAACAUGUGCAGUAAGACAAGGAGGACCACUGUCACCACUUUUGUGUAACACAGUGCUGAAAGUCCUGGCCAUUAUAGUUUAAAAGAGAGAGAGAGAGAGAGAGAGAGAGAGAGAGAGAGAGAGAGAAACAAAGGACAUCCAAAUAGGAAAGAACAAAGUCCUCACAGAUGAUAGGAUCUUAUAUGCACACAACCUACAAAUCCCUGCAGACAGUGUUGUAACUGAUGGGCAAAUUCAGCCUGUUGAAUAUGCAGAGAUUCCAAUGUGUUCAUACCUGUGGCAUCACUGGUCACAAUAGAAACAUAUGGAAUCAACCUAGGUGUCCAUCACUAGACGACCAUAAUGGCAUAUUAUUUGGCCAUAAAUAUUGAUGAAAGAUAAAGACCUGCUACCUGCAGUAACAUGGCUGAGCAUGAAGGACAUGCUACUUACUGAAAUAAACCAUCAACAGAAAGACAAAUGUGGUUCUCAUCUGUGGACCAGAUGCUCCAGAGAGUAGGGCUAUAGGAGGAUAUAAAAAGAAAAGUUGACACACAGGGGGUGAAAUUAGAUGGAAGGAAGAGCUUUGAAUGUUUGAUGAUACAGUAAUAGUAAUUAUGCUUUACAACAAUUAAUUAUUUCAAAAUACCUGGCACAGAAAUGUUUGAAUGCCUCUCAACACGAAGAAAUCACAAACAUUUGAGGACAUCAAUAUGCUAA
rnacentral:lncRNA from 1 species